UUAGGGGGAGGUUAACAUGUUAAACACCGCAGCCUAUAAGUACACACAUCUCUGAUGCACACUCAGUUCCUCACUGACAUCAGACACCAAACAUGGACUUCGCCAAGGGUAAAGCAGAUGCGCAUGUGGAAAAGAUCAUUGAUCAGGCUGCUGUAGUUGCCAAAGAAAAAGUUGGAGGAAUAAUCGGAGACAAGAAAAAGACAGGAGGUGCAAGAGACCAUAAAGAGGGUGGAGGCAAACCUGCUGCAGACCCUGCAGCCAAAAGUGCCGGGGACAUUGGGAAAGGUCUAUUAAAGUGAGACUGCAUACUUUAAACAUGAUCUUUAUCAUUCACCACUGGACUCUAACUGGACCCCACAAUCCUGCAUUGUUUAAACUUUGUAUGACAGCACUGAAUGUUUCUCCAGAAGCUGUAUGUUUUAUGUCAUCUUGAAACAGGCAAUGCCUAUAUUUCUGUUUUCAGCACCUUUUGAGAUUUUUUAAUAAUAAACAUAAAAAGUUUAAUUUAAGAAUGCAUUUAUAUAUAAAGCACACAUUCAUACAUACGCUGUAGUGAAAGUGAAUUAAAAUUAUUAAAAUGCACAAAGCCAAUAAAACUGAUGCUUAACAUGAUGGAAAUAAAUAACUGUUGUUCAGUGGGAGAUUGAGUUAGUUUACAUGGUGAAGUUAUUUUUUAUGUUUUUUUUUUAUGCUUGAAAUGCUUUCUGUAAUAUUGUCUGUAAUAUUGUCAUGUUUUUAAGACGAGACAAACCAGCUAAUACCACAUAGCAUCACAGAAUUAAUAAAAUCCAUUAUUAAUACUUA